rnacentral:lncRNA from 1 species
CAGUAAUACGUGUGGAUAAAUCGGUAAGCAGACGUGGAUAAGCAAGUAUGCAUUGCUAAAUCGACAAAUAUCAAAUCCGUCAAUAAAUAUUGCAAAAAAUAGGAUAAAUACAAUACAUAACAAAAUCGGUAAAUAUCUGAAGAUGGGAGCGUUGCUGCUGUGAAUAUCGUACCAGAACAGUACGUUGUGGUACAUGGGUGUUAGCAUAGCGGUAGGAUUUUUUGGGGCUUUUUAUUUUCCUUUUUUGAUUUUAUUUCUCAAUUAUGGGCCCGGGCAAGCUUGACCGCUAGUGCUAGGCCAAGUCAUUCUUUUCGUCCGCGCAUGCUGGGAGCUCGCGACGCGGCUUCGAUCGCCCGCACGUUCCGCGCCUGCUCGUCCCACGCCCGCAAGUCCGUAACGGGACGCCGUACGCUAAGUUUCGUGGGCAUGGUCGCCCAGUAGUUCAGUUUUUUUUUUCAGAUCGACGGAACUAUAUAUAUAGUCAUAACGUGAUCGCACGUUUGAUGUUUCCAAGUAUGAUAUUGUUUUACGUACUGAAAUACACAUACCCUGGACUGUAUCAUCAUGUGUAUGGCCAAGUGGCCUCCUCGCAAUUUGGGACGUGUACAAUAGGGCGACGUCAGCCUUCUCUUAGCGAUGCCACGUAGGAUAAAAUCUAACGUGGAAGAGAGAGAAAUGAGGAAAAUGCACAAGCCUUCUCUUAAUUAAGAGAUGAUCUCUUCAC